GAUGAACGCUAGCGGGAGGCUUAACACAUGCAAGUCGAGGGGCAGCAUAGGGUAGCAAUACUCUGAUGGCGACCGGCAAACGGGUGAGUAACGCGUAUGCAACCUACCCUGUACAGGGGGAUAACCCGGAGAAAUUCGGACUAAUAUCCCGUAAUAAUAUCCGGAGGCAUCUUUGGAUAUUUAAAGUUCCGACGGUACGGGAUGGGCAUGCGUAACAUUAACUGGUUGGUAAGGUAACGGCUUACCAAGGCUAUGAUGUUUAGGGGACCUGAGAGGGUUGUCCCCCACACUGGUACUGAGACACGGACCAGACUCCUACGGGAGCAGCAGUGAGGAAUAUUGGUCAAUGGGCGCAAGCCUGAACCAGCCAUCCCGCGUGAAGGAAGAAUGCGCUACGCGUUGUAAACUUCUUUUCCAGGGGGAGAAUAAUCCUGUCGUGACAGGACUUGACGGUACUCUGGGAAUAAGCAUCGGCUAACUCCGUG
rnacentral:rRNA from 1 species